rfam:Loxodonta africana cont3.69308, whole genome shotgun sequence.
GCCUUAGAAAGCACCCUCAGGUCAAGGUGGGAGGACUCUUUGUUUAAAAUACUUACACGUAUAGCAAAAAAGUUCAUGGCAACAAGCUAAGCACCAAGUUAUUUUUUAAGGCACACAAAUUAAGUGUUCAAUCUGUGGCGGAUUUGUACUUCCUUUCUGAAUUGUAUUGUUCUCAGAGAAAAACGUUUGAAAGCACCGAAAGCACCAUCAGAACUGAAACAAG